rnacentral:rRNA from 1 species
GAAAAGAACUUUGAAAAGAGAGUUAAAUAGUACGUGAAAUUGUUGAAAGGGAAACGAUUAAAGUCAGUCAUGUUAGUAGGGAAUCAACUUGUGAUAGUAUGCGAGUUUCUCGUGUCCUUUCCGGUGCACUUCCUUACUUGCAGGUUAGCAUCAAUUUUGGUUAUCAUAUAAAAAUUGAGAGAAGGUGGCUUUUCUUCGGGAAAGUGUUAUAGACCUCGAUAAAUGUGAUGACCGGGAUUGAGGUUUGCAGCGGAUACCCUUUCGGGCUAGUCACCUGGCUUCUGAUGGUUACCCUGUCUUCGAUAGCUUGCUAACGUUGGUGGGACCUGAUCGUCUAGAUGUUAGAGUGAUCAUAAAUUCGCUAAGGAUGCUGACGUAAUGGCUUUAAACGACCCGUCUU